CGAUCGAUUCGAUCCUUCAUCGCCCCUCCCCAAUAAGGUUGGUGAAUUCUCCUUAUGCGUGCAACAAUGUCUGUUGAGAUCGAUCGUCGCCGUAUCUAUCUAGGGUUUCGAUUCGCGUCCGUAUGUGCGAUCUCGCGUUUGUGGUAAUUGCUUGUUGAAUCGCUUAUAGGUUGUAUCGAUCGUCUGUAAAAAGCUUUAUAUUUUGCGUACUUUUUUCAUGUAUGUUUGUGCUGUUGGGAGGGUGGAAGGGAUUAAUGAUGUUGUUUUGUCUANAUAUAUAUAUAUAUAUAUAUAUAUAUAUAUAUAUAUAUAUAUAUAUAUAUAUAUUGAAAACUGCCACCGACACCGAAUUAAAGAUGUUUUUGAUAAUCUUAAAAAUUAAAAUCCAAGAGUGAUAAACUUUUUUUUUUUCUUCCUGGUUUGCCUGUAGGUUGGGGUGGAAAAGACCCGAGCUCGAGUGAGCUUUUAUCAGUUUAAGUUUGGCUUGAAAUUAAUUUCGAACCUAAAUUUAGACUCAAAUUCAGUUUAAAAUUAAUUCAAGUUGCUUCAAAUCAAGUAAGCUCGAACCCUAAAUGAGCCGUCUGAAUUUUCUAACCUCGUGCAACCUAUGAUUUAAUUUUUAUAAAAUAUUAUCUAGAAUUUGACACAAGAAUACAUCCGAUAGUUUAACAUACAAAAAUAAUUAUAUGAAAUAAAAUAGCAUAAUAUUGAAAGAUAAUUUAUGAGUUAAUAUAUCUUAUAUUGUAAUGAAUGUCUAUUUCUUUCGCCUCCCAUCUCUAUAUUUUUCCUUUUCUUCUAUGUUGUCUAAAAGUGAAUAAAUUAUAUAAGAAAGGGGGAGGAUCUCAAUUUUUUUUCAAAAAUUAAUGAAAUUUUAUGAAGCUUUUUUUCCUGAUUUUUUUUAAAAAAAAUAUUUUCCAUAAUUUUUUAAAAGGCAUUCCAUGUGGUGGCGAGAGAGAGAGAUUUGGCCCAACUCAUUUACAAUCUCAGCCCAAUAUAUUUCACUCCUGGGCAGUUAUAGACCAGCCCACGGCCCAAUUCUCCGCAUGAAUGUUUGGCCGUUGAGUGAGGCGUACGAGGUGUACGGAUACACCGCGCGCAGCCAACAAUUUCGCUAAAUCUGACGACACCAUGUUGGUCACGAGCCUUUUUCUAUGGUUUGCUGCGUAAAAUCUUAAAUCGAUCAAACACCGUCCGUUUCCCACGCCGUCAAUUAACGGCCCUCCUCAUCGGGGCCACCCCAACGGCCCCCCAUUCCUUCGUCCUCCUCUUCCUUUUCCUCCUCCUCUCUCAAUACAUUCGCUCUUCCUCCUCGUACCUACAUCACGAAACCCUAAUCUCAUCGUCUUCUUCUUCUUCGAUCGCCAUGGGCGAGAUGGAGAACUCGAGCAUCCUCUCGUACGAGAAGCUCGAGGGCGUGGCGAGCUGGGUGGGGACGAGCGUGGCCUCGGCGUUCUUCGCCUCGCUCGAGCGGUGCUCCUGCAUCAACCUCAGCACCGCCGAGGAGGACGAAAACGACGACGAGGAGGAGGCCAAGGAUCGCCCCCUCAUGCUCACCAAACCCGUCCUCCACGACGACGACUCCACCAAACCCUCCCCCGUUUGAUCCCCAUCGAUCGAUUCGAUCCUUCAUCGCCCCUCCCCAAUAAGGUUGGUGAAUUCUCGUUAUGCGUGCAACAAUGUCUGUUGAGAUCGAUCGUCGCCGUAUCUAUCUAGGGUUUCGAUUCGCGUCCGUAUCUGCGAUCUCGCGUUUGUGGUAAUUCCUUGUUGAAUCGCUUAUAGGUUGUAUCGAUCGUCUGUAAAAAGCUUUAUGUUUUGCGUGCUUUUUUCAUGUAUGUUUGUGCUGUUGGGAGGGUGGAAGCGAUUAAUGAUGUUGUUUUGUCUAGCGUAAUUAUAUUUAUUUGGUUUGGGAUUUUCGUAUUUGUUCCAUCGAAAUCGUAUUGAAGCGAGAUCUAUAUAACCUUGGAGUAUUAUGUUCCAUCGAAAUCGUAUUGAAGCGAGAUCUAUAUAACCUUGGAGUAUUAUUUUGGGAUGUUUCCUGGUUUGUUUUGCAAUUUUCAUUGUAAUCACAUUUGUUGACUUUGGUUAUUGAAUCAAAUUUGUUUCCUAGUUAGCAAACUA
rnacentral:lncRNA from 1 species